AUACGGAGGAUGCGAGCGUUAUCCGGAUUUAUUGGGUUUAAAGGGUGCGUAGGCUGUGCGUUAAGUCAGGGGUGAAAUGCCGUCGCUCAACGACGGAGCUGCCCUUGAUACUGGCGUGCUGGAGUACGGAUGCCGUUGGAGGAAUGAGUGGUGUCGCGGUGAAAUGCUUAGAUAUCAAUCAGAACACCGAUUGCGAAGGCAUCUGACGAAUCCGUCACUGACGCUGAGGCACGAAAGCGUGGGGAUAGAACAGGAUUAGAUACCCUGGUAUGCCACGCCGUAAACGAUGAUGACUAACCGUCGGCGAUAGACAGCCGGUGGCCAAGCGAAAGCGAUAAGUCAUCCACCUGGGGAGUACGUCGGCAACGAUGAAACUCAAAUGAAUUGACGGGG
rnacentral:rRNA from 1 species